GUUUGGGGAACAGGAAGAGGUUGGGGAUGGAGAAGGGAGGGAAGUUGGAAGAAGUGGGCCUGGUGAGAUAAGCAAUAUCAAGGCCUUGGAGAUCGCACAAAGGGGUUUUGACUUUCAUUCUGGAACAGUGGAAAACCACUGAGGGGAAGAUGCUAGGACUUGCUUUUUAACUGAUAAUGUGUGUGGAAUGGAGAGUGGACUGGCGGCGGCAGAAAGAACGGAGUCAAGGAGGCCAAGAAGGAGGCUGUUACAGUAACCGAAUCGAGGCAUCAAAGGGCCUAGACUGUGGUAAGGGUUGGCGAUGGAGACAAGGAGAUGGAUUUGGACAGGUUCAGAAAGCUGGGGCUGGAAUCCACUCAUUCAGCAGGAAGGGAGAGGGAGAGGUGGGCGCUGAGGAUCAGGCCUGGAAGGCCCUGGAAGGAGGACUGAGCUGCUCUGGGAGGCAGAGAACAAGAGGCAGAGCGACUUGCAGGAAGAGCAUGCAAGUUGCCGAUCUCAGUUCAGAUACGCUCAGUUGGAGGAACCUGCAAGACAUCUAGAUGCUAAAGUUCAAGAGAAUAUCUGGGGCUAUGUCUGGAUUUGUACUCAAUCCAGAAUGAGUCUUUUCAAAGCUUAUUUAUUUAUUUAUUUAUUUAUUUACAAAGCAUUUUUAAAAAGUGAACCUAGGUACACUUCGGAAGAGCCACAUUAGUUUAGUGAAAGGGGAGUCAUUGUCUAUAGCAGAGGAAAGGGAGCCCAGAAAGAUCCAAAACCCACAGUCAGGGACGUUAGAGGGUUAGUCCUUUAGUUUUGCUAAAAAAUUAAAUUAACACCGAGAUCAUACAAUUAAACACAACAUAAAACCCUGGAUCUUUGCAAACCUGCCAACCUGUACCAGUCUAUCCUAAGUUAAUCAUUGAUCACCAGACAAUAACCGAGAACUGAGCUGUGCUUUGUGCAGUCCUGGAAAUCGCAACCUUUAAGGCAAAUAAGGCAAAGUCUCACCUGAAUGACCUUCUACACUGAAGAGGCUAAUUUAACUGAGGAAGAACGAAAGUCAACGCACAGCUGGAAGAAUGUCUGGCAGCGAAGGGUAAAUGCUACGAUAAAAACAAACAAACAAACAAACAAACAAACAAAAACACCAGGCCCUGAAUCACCUCCGAAGCCCGGGAAAGGUACCGUCAUUCUUCCUGUCCUCGCCAUCCAGUUCCUGGGCCGGGCGGAGGCAUGGACGCCAACCGCUGGAUCACGGCCACCCUCAGACAAAAGGCACAGGCUCCAGAGCCACCUGCCCCACACCGCCCUCCCGGGGAAUACCCCCCCCACCCCGGCCCUCGUGGAGAGGGUGUAAGGUCCCUCGACCCCGUGGUCAGCGGGGAACCCUGGCCCCAAAGGACUUUCCAGAGGGGCCUUUAAUUGCAGCAUGGCAUGAAGAGCGGCCCUGCAGAGAUCUAGACCACUCCCGUGGUCACAGCUAAUUCUAUCGGCCGACACCGGUCUGAGAGGCCCACUGGGAUAGAGUGCGAAGUCUUAGUUCCCCGUUUGCAAUCUCUGAUUCCAACCCACGAGCCUCAACUCUGCCUCCUGCCCCAUGUUUCACAAGAACAGGAAGUUGGAGAAGUGACGGCCGUGGGCACGAGCUGCCCCUGCUGAGAAAUAGCCCGUCAGGAGCGAACUGUGCGUCCUGCGCACCGGGGGACCUGCCAGCAAGAGUCGCGGAUGCUGGAACUCUGGUCGGAGAACUAAGUCGUGUGCGGAUGGUCGCUGGCAGCCGACUCGGGGCGGAGGGGGCGCGGGGGAGUCAGCACAUACUUCUCUGCUGAACUCCAUUUCCCAUUUGGUUUGGCAGCUUGUUUUUCGUGAAAUGAGGCCAAUCCAAGAAUUCCAUGUCAACAUCGCUCCUUUUACUGGAACCACAAGCGUAGCCCCCUGGGACCUGCUGUAUCUCUGGGCGGACAUCAAAAACAACUCCUUUUUGCUUUGAAAUUAUAACAGUCUUCUGAGAGCUA